rnacentral:rRNA from 1 species
UUUACUUAGAGUUUGAUCCUAGCUCAGGGUGAACGCUGGCGGCAUGGAUAAGGCAUGCAAGUCACGGGGACCGCAAGGUAACCGGCAGACGAGGUAGUAACACGUAGGAACGUACCCCCAUCACGGGCAUAACUAAUCGAAAGGUUAGCUAAUUCCCGAUGGUCUGGUAGUUGAACUGUGCGAAGUAUCACGGUUGAGAAAUUCGAAGCACGAAGCACGAAACUCGAAAAGAUUAAAAGCACAAAAUCCAAAAUUCUAAACGAAUCAGUUUACUAUUUAUGAUUUCUCGUCUUUUUUCGGAUUUCGAUAUUCGGAUUUCGGAUUUUUAUCCGGCCGAUAGUUUGCAAGGUUCAGCUACCAGUAAAGGCUUCGGCCGGAUGGGGAGCGGCCUGCGUUGUAUCAGCUAGUUGGUGAGGUAAUGGCUCACCAAGGCUAUGACGCAUAGGGGACCUGAGAGGGUGACCCCCACCGGUGGAAUUGAGAAACGGUCCACACUCCUACGGGAGGCUGCAGUCGAGAAUCUUCGGCAAUGGGC